UGGUGUUACUCUUUUGGGAGCUCAGG
rnacentral:piRNA from 1 species